AAUUAUUGGUCGCGUUCACCAGAAUAAUCCGAGUGCAAUCCGAUUAAUUUGCGCUGAAACGCUGACAGUUUUUUUACUAGUGAACGACUGACGUUUGACAUUCGAUUGAGAGUGUUCUGUGUUCCAUUUGUUUAUUUUUUUAUUCUUUGUUUAUAUAAUUUAUAACCUAGACAGUUUUGUUUUUAAAUAAAACUGAAACUGUGUCUAAGCUAAAAUGGAUAAUAUUCUUGAAGAAUUUUUGUUUGGGGACGAAAUUAGCAAAUGCCGUUAUACAUUUAGCAGAUGUACCUGCCUCACAAUUAUUCCAGAAGGAUGAGAUGAAAUUAAAUAUAUAUAAACCAUAAUUCAAUAUCCAAUUUAGAGAACAUUUUCGUAUGUCCAGAACUACUUUCCAGGAACUAUUUAAUUGUAUUGGUCAUAUCCACCAAUUUGAAAACAGAAUAAUUCUAUUGGAAAAAAUUAAUGUUUAUGAUGUGGAUGCUAAGUAAACCAGAGAAUUUGUUGCUGGGGAUACGUUUGGUUUGCCAAAGAGCUCUGGACAUAAGAUUUUCACCCAAAUAAUAUAGAAUUACAAAAAAUUGGAAAUAACUAAUCUUGAAUAUCAAUGUGUAUAUUGAGUUUAAUUUUAUUGUAAAUAUUCUAUAAUAUAAUUUUAUUGUAAAUAUUGUAUUAACACAUUUGUGGACACAUCUUCAUAUGCAGACAGUAAUUUCCCUUUGUAAGUACAUGCAUAUUAGUCGUAUCUGCGAAUGGGUUAAUUGUAAAUCGUAAUCAAUAAAAAUUUUUUGUGAAUCAAUAAAAAACUGGUUUGUUUGAAAAUAAAUGUAGUACAAAUGUG